UAUUGUUGAAAAAUGCAAUGA
rnacentral:piRNA from 1 species